rnacentral:rRNA from 1 species
AUCGCAUGAUCAGCUUUUAAAAGGCGGCGUAAGCUGUCGCUAUGGGAUGGCCCCGCGGUGCAUUAGCUAGUUGGUAAGGUAAAGGCUUACCAAGGCGAUGAUGCAUAGCCGAGUUGAGAGACUGAUCGGCCACAUUGGGACUGAGACACGGCCCAAACUCCUACGGGAGGCAGCAGUAGGGAAUCUUCCACAAUGGACGCAAGUCUGAUGGAGCAACGCCGCGUGAGUGAAGAAGGUUUUCGGAUCGUAAAGCUCUGUUGUUNGUGAAGAAGGAUAGANGUAGUAACUG